rnacentral:rRNA from 1 species
UACAGAGGUCCCAAGCGUUGCUCGGAUUCACUGGGCGUAAAGGGUGCGUAGGCGGUCGGGUAAGUCUGAUGUGAAAUCUCACAGCUUAACUGUGAAACUGCAUUGGAUACUAUUCGGCUUGAGAGUUGGAGGGGGGACUGGAAUUCUUGGUGUAGCAGUGAAAUGCGUAGAUAUCAAGAGGAACACCAGUGGCGAAGGCGAGUCCCUGGACAACUUCUGACGCUGAGGCACGAAAGCUAGGGGAGCAAACAGG